rnacentral:rRNA from 1 species
UACACAAAAAUGCACAUAUUGUGAGCUCGAUGAGUAGGGCGGGACACGUGGUAUCCUGUCUGAAUAUGGGGGGACCAUCCUCCAAGGCUAAAUACUCCUGACUGACCGAUAGUGAACCAGUACCGUGAGGGAAAGGCGAAAAGAACCCCGGCGAGGGGAGUGAAAAAGAACCUGAAACCGUGUACGUACAAGCAGUGGGAGCACGCUUAGGCGUGUGACUGCGUACCUUUUGUAUAAUGGGUCAGCGACUUAUAUUCUGUAGCAAGGUUAACCGAAUAGGGGAGCCGAAGGGAAACCGAGUCUUAACUGGGCGUUAAGUUGCAGGGUAUAGACCCGAAACCCGGUGAUCUAGCCAUGGGCAGGUUGAAGGUUGGGUAACACUAACUGGAGGACCGAACCGACUAAUGUUGAAAAAUUAGCGGAUGACUUGUGGCUGGGGGUGAAAGGCCAAUCAAACCGGGAGAUAGCUGGUUCUCCCCGAAAGCUAUUUAGGUAGCGCCUCGUGAAUUCAUCUCCGGGGGUAGAGCACUGUUUCGGCAAGGGGGUCAUCCCGACUUACCAACCCGAUGCAAACUGCGAAUACCGGAGAAUGUUAUCACGGGAGACACACGGCGGGUGCUAACGUCCGUCGUGAAGAGGGAAACAACCCAGACCGCCAGCUAAGGUCCCAAAGUCAUGGUUAAGUGGGAAACGAUGUGGGAAGGCCCAGACAGCCAGGAUGUUGGCUUAGAAGCAGCCAUCAUUUAAAGAAAGCGUAAUAGCUCACUGGUCGAGUCGGCCUGCGCGGAAGAUGUAACGGGGCUAAACCAUGCACCGAAGCUGCGGCAGCGACGCUUAUGCGUUGUUGGGUAGGGGAGCGUUCUGUAAGCCUGUGAAGGUGUGCUGUGAGGCAUGCUGGAGGUAUCAGAAGUGCGAAUGCUGACAUAAGUAACGAUAAAGCGGGUGAAAAGCCCGCUCGCCGGAAGACCAAGGGUUCCUGUCCAACGUUAAUCGGGGCAGGGUGAGUCGACCCCUAAGGCGAGGCCGAAAGGCGUAGUCGAUGGGAAACAGGUUAAUAUUCCUGUACUUGGUGUUACUGCGAAGGGGGGACGGAGAAGGCUAUGUUGGCCGGGCGACGGUUGUCCCGGUUUAAGCGUGUAGGCUGGUUUUCCAGGCAAAUCCGGAAAAUCAAGGCUGAGGCGUGAUGACGAGGCACUACGGUGCUGAAGCAACAAAUGCCCUGCUUCCAGGAAAAGCCUCUAAGCAUCAGGUAACAUCAAAUCGUACCCCAAACCGACACAGGUGGUCAGGUAGAGAAUACCAAGGCGCUUGAGAGAACUCGGGUGAAGGAACUAGGCAAAAUGGUGCCGUAACUUCGGGAGAAGGCACGCUGAUAUGUAGGUGAAGUCCCUUGCGGAUGGAGCUGAAAUCAGUCGAAGAUACCAGCUGGCUGCAACUGUUUAUUAAAAACACAGCACUGUGCAAACACGAAAGUGGACGUAUACGGUGUGACGCCUGCCCGGUGCCGGAAGGUUAAUUGAUGGGGUCAGCGCAAGCGAAGCUCUUGAUCGAAGCCCCGGUAAACGGCGGCCGUAACUAUAACGGUCCUAAGGUAGCGAAAUUCCUUGUCGGGUAAGUUCCGACCUGCACGAAUGGCGUAAUGAUGGCCAGGCUGUCUCCACCCGAGACUCAGUGAAAUUGAACUCGCUGUGAAGAUGCAGUGUACCCGCGGCAAGACGGAAAGACCCCGUGAACCUUUACUAUAGCUUGACACUGAACAUUGAGCCUUGAUGUGUAGGAUAGGUGGGAGGCUUUGAAGUGUGGACGCCAGUCUGCAUGGAGCCGACCUUGAAAUACCACCCUUUAAUGUUUGAUGUUCUAACGUGGACCCGUGAUCCGGGUUGCGGACAGUGUCUGGUGGGUAGUUUGACUGGGGCGGUCUCCUCCUAAAGAGUAACGGAGGAGCACGAAGGUUGGCUAAUCCUGGUCGGACAUCAGGAGGUUAGUGCAAUGGCAUAAGCCAGCUUGACUGCGAGCGUGACGGCGCGAGCAGGUGCGAAAGCAGGUCAUAGUGAUCCGGUGGUUCUGAAUGGAAGGGCCAUCGCUCAACGGAUAAAAGGUACUCCGGGGAUAACAGGCUGAUACCGCCCAAGAGUUCAUAUCGACGGCGGUGUUUGGCACCUCGAUGUCGGCUCAUCACAUCCUGGGGCUGAAGUAGGUCCCAAGGGUAUGGCUGUUCGCCAUUUAAAGUGGUACGCGAGCUGGGUUUAGAACGUCGUGAGACAGUUCGGUCCCUAUCUGCCGUGGGCGCUGGAGAACUGAGGGGGGCUGCUCCUAGUACGAGAGGACCGGAGUGGACGCAUCACUGGUGUUCGGGUUGUCAUGCCAAUGGCACUGCCCGGUAGCUAAAUGCGGAAGAGAUAAGUGCUGAAAGC